UACGUAGGGUGCGAGCGUUAAUCGGAAUUACUGGGCGUAAAGCGUGCGCAGGCGGCGCCGCAAGUCAGGCGUGAAAUCCCCCGAGCUUAACUUGGGAAUGGCGCUUGAAAACUACGGUGCUGGAGUGUGGCAGAGGGAGGUGGAAUUCCACGUGUAGCGGUGAAAUGCGUAGAGAUGUGGAGGAACACCGAUGGCGAAGGCAGCCUCCUGGGCCAACACUGACGCUCAUGCACGAAAGCGUGGGGAGCAAACAGG
rnacentral:rRNA from 1 species